UACGUAGGGGCUAGCGUUAUCCGGAAUUACUGGGCGUAAAGGGUGCGUAGGUGGUUUCUUAAGUCAGAGGUGAAAGGCUACGGCUCAACUGUAGUAAGCCUUUGAAACUGGGAAACUUGAGUGCAGGAGAGGAGAGUGGAAUUCCUAGUGUAGCGGUGAAAUGCGUAGAUAUUAGGAGGAACACCAGUAGCGAAGGCGGCUCUCUGGACUGUAACUGACGCUGAGGCACGAAAGCGUGGGGAGCAAACAGGAUUAGAUACCCUGGUAGUCCCUGA
rnacentral:rRNA from 1 species